AAAAACGAAGAUAAAAUACUCUAAAGGGUAAUAGGAUGUCGCCCUUUUCUCUCUCUGCCGUUCUCCUCUCAUAGUCUCAUGAAGCUCCGUCUCCGUCUCUGAGGCUCCCUCUUUGGGUCUACCAUCUUUGAAGCUCUCAUCUCAGACAAGGAGUUGUUGAUACCAGGUCAAUUCAAUCUUUUCUGUCGCUGCGCUACCAAUUGCUGGGUUCGAAUUGGGUCUAUGCUACCAUAUUUUGGUUCCACGUUUCAAGUUGGGGUCUCAACUUCUACUAGAUUAUGCAAAGGGAAAUGCAGGACAAGUUUCCUCAUAUACUAUACAGUCAUUGUUAGAGUCUAUGAAACAAGGUUGGAUCUUUUGAGAGCUGUAAUUGUUGGAGCUAAGGGUACUCCUUUCCAUGAUGGUAUCUUUUUCUUUGAUGUUUCCUUCCCCAGUGGGUACCCCAAUGUGCCGCCGGUAGGAGCUUUAGCACCUGCAAGACCAUUUGCUUUCAUUAAAUUCAAGGUCAGUCAAAUGUCCAGUCCUUUAACAUCAGAGUAUGCUGAUAAAGCGAGAGACUUGAAUUGACAGCUCUCCAGUACUAUACUCUUUGUUUCAGUUUCAAAUCACGUUGUACGGUUUUAGUGUUUUAUGGUGGCAUACCGGUGGAUGAGGCAUUACAUGACAGUGGCUAUAGUUAAAGCCCAAUCCUGAUAGAAGUGCAAAAGGCACAGUCAUUGAGGCCGCUCUUGAUAAAUCUAGAGGACCUUUAGUUACACUUAUCGUGCAAAAUGGAACCAUUAGAAAGGGGGACAUAGUAGUUUGUGGAGAAGCCUUUGGAAAGGUCUUAACAGCUUCUAGCUUAAGAGCUCUUGGGUAUGCUGGUGAAGUAGAAGGGAUUGGUCAUGUUGUGGCCUUAGACAAUGAUUAAGAUAAUUAGGGGAGCUUGCACUGGAAGGAGCUCAUUAUUUGACAACAGGGGAGCUCGUUAGUCUCAGUGAGCAGCAGCUUGUGGACUGUGAUCAUGAGGAAGUGAGAGGCUUGUCUUGUUAAGCUUUCUUGAAUAAUAGCUAAAGCUGCUAGUAUAUGCUUUUGCCUUUGAAAUAGGUUUGGAUCUUUUCCUUCAAGUCUGUCAGAAUAAUGAACUACCAAGAGCGUUUUGUACUGUAAACCAUAUGUAAACCAUUUUGCUGCAAUAUAAGUUUCUUCUGUUCCAAAA